rnacentral:lncRNA from 1 species
UUUUUUUUUCUUUUUUUUUAGGGCUGCACCUGUGGCAUAUGGAAGUUCCCAGGCUAGGGGUCGAAUCAGAGCUACAGCUGCUGGCCUGCACUACAACCAUAGCAAUACCAGAUCCAAGCCAAGUCUUCAGCCUACACCACAGCAUGAGACAACCCCAGAUCUUUAACCCACUGAGUGAGGCCAAGGAUUGAAGCUGCAUCCUCAUGGAUGCUAAUCAUAUUCUUUUUUUUUUUUUUCAGGCCACACCCUCAGCAUAUAAAGGUUCCCAGGUGCAGUCCUAAAAAGACAAAAGACAAAAAAAUGAAUAAAUAAAUAAAGCAUAGUGGCUGGCGCAUCAGAAGUACCCUAUGCAGUAAACAACUACAGAGUUUUCCAACUACAAUUACUAUCAUUAUAUUUCUCUAUGGACAGUGUAAGCACUGUGAUUGCCGUAAAUCCUUGUUGAAUUAUUGAAUUUAUUAUGAUACAAGUGAGGUUACUGUCACAAAGAAACACCAAAAUGGCUAAAAUGAGAUACAAAUGCAUUUCUUUUUUUUUUUUUUUUUUUUUUUUUUUUUCCUUUUUUCUUUUUCUAGAGCUUCCCCUGCAGCAUAUGGAGGUUCCCAGGCUAGGGGUCAAAUAAGAGCUAGAGCCGCCGCCUAUACCACAGCCACCGCAAUGACAGAUCCAAGCCGAGUCUGUGACCUACACCACAGCUCACGGCAACACCGGAUCCUUAACCCACUGAGCAAGCCUGGGAAUCAGACCUGCAACCUCAUGGUUCCUAGUCAGAUUUGUUCCUGCUGCACCCCACAUCGGGAACUCCACAAAUGCAUUUCUCAUAUGACAGCCUGAGUGUUCACAUUCCAGAGCUGAUAUGGUGUCUCCCACAGCGUUGCCCUGAUCCACGUAGCUGAGAAAUACUCAACACCUUGUCUACUGCAAUUACAUUCUGGUCACCAAAAUCAGGAAAAAGGAGCAGUGGAAGGUUUAAGAACAAAAUCCCCAAGUUGUACACAUCACUUCUGCUUACAUCCCACUGACAAAAAGAUAAUUGCAAGGGAAAUCAGGAAAUGUAGGGUUUGUUCUCCAGCCCAUCUAUCACUAAAUCCCUCAAGCUGGGAGUUCUCUUGUGGUGCAGUGGGUUAAGGAUCCUGCAUUGUCACUGCUGUGGCACUGGUUCAGUCCCUGGCCUGGGAACUUCCACAUGCCAUGGGCAUGGCAGAGAGAAAGGGAGAGGCAGAGAGAAAUAAAUACCUCAAGCAGAAGGAGGGAAUGAAUGUUGAGAGAGCCAGCAGUCUGGGGCGUGAUGCUUCUAAACUUUGUCAAAUAAGCAGGAAUUACUUUUAAGCUGGAAAAAUAGAUCGUAUCUUUAAAUUACGUAAGAUUUUACAGUAAAGACAAAAAAAAGGGAUAUGGUUUUGGUGGCGUCGGAGGAACGUAGAAUCAGAUUCGGACCUACAAACUCCAGUGAUCUGGAUGUGGAAGAAAUAAGAGAUGCACUCACAGAAGCCAAUACCCAACGAAAUCAGGAUGUUAUGGGCGGGGAUUUGGAGGAGGAACACAUAACAAAGGAAAAUAUCAAGAAGGGGUCAUGGAUGUGAAAGGGGAGAUUCAGGAAGUCUACAGCACGCAGUACAGUGAGGUUUAACAACAAAAGGGGCUUUUAUUUUGUAUUGGGGGAGGGGGUAUUUUAAUGCUUAAUAGGAAGAGCCAGAAGAACAAGGAGGAGAUAAUCCCACUGCUUUGAGACCACAUGAUAUGAUGUGCUCAGACAACUGAAAGAAAACAGAAAUACCCCAUGUCUAUUUUGCUUGCAUUUUUCUCUAUCAAAGAAAAGGAUCCUCAAGCUAUAAAGAGUAAGGAAAAUAGCAGUAAGAGGAAAUUAAAGCCAAGGUGCAGCAGUAGAAAGCACCGAGUUACCUUAAAUGGGGUAAAAAAACCCUUUCAAUUCAGGUGCGUUCUAUUCCAGCAUACUUUGAAAGUGCUUUAGACUCUGACCCCAAAGCCUUUCUUACAGAUCUUUGAGAAAAUAUGUCAGAGGAGAUGACAUAAGACUAAAUGCGAAUAGCUGCUGUCUUCAGAUUCAUAAAAGGAAAAAAUAUAUAUUCCAGACACUAUACCCAGGGGAACUUGAUGUCUCUUCCCAGGAUGAUUUGUGACCAUGAAAAAAAGGUGAUUAUUUAAAGGCCUCAACUGGUUUGCCAAGCCCACUUCAUGCCAAAUGGACCUCAUUUCAUGUUGUUGGAAGAAUUAAUUGAUCCUCAGAAUAGGAUUAUAGCACAAACGGAAUAUAAUUUGAUUCCAACAAAGCAGCUGUCCCCGUGGUAUUAGUCAUGCCUCGGUCAGUUAAAAGCCAAGGCAGAAAGGUUGUUUAUUAGCCCACUGAAGAGGAAGGACCCUGAAGCAGCUCUCACAGUCAAAGGAUGAGCUGCAGAAACCAGGGUUCUCAAGGGACCAGAAGCAAAGCUCACUUCCCCAGGAGCCUUCCUGCUCCUGUCUCUGUCUGCUUCAUUCUGAGGUGACUUCACUUCUUGCUGUGGGAGGAUGGCUGCUGGCAGUCCCAUAUUCAUAUUUUCCAGGCUUGGCAACCCUACUGGAAAGAGAAAACUUUUUUUCCUUAUUGCAUUCACACAGAGUGACUUGUACCUUUAUUUUUACGUUUCUGUACUGCUUGAAUUUUUACCUUCUAAUGCCGAAUUAUUAAUAAAACAUUUCUAAAAAAAUGAAAUUCAUCAAUAUCAAUAUAAAAAGCAACAUGGACAGACGAUUGCUAACUUAACUUUUCUGCAAAUGUUGUACAUUUAGUUUGUUUUCAGAUCUUACUGUUAGAAAUAAAUCUACAAUCAACAUUUUGUACGUAAAUCUUAGUCCAUGCCUCUAAUGAUUAAUGUUUGGAGGGAGUUCUAGAAGUAGAAUUCCCGGGUGAAAUGUUUUAAAUGUUUACAGGUCUCUUGAUACAUGUUACUGUCUACAUUGCUUUCAAGAAACAGGCCUAUACCUCAAUAUCACAUUGAGAAGUUUUUUUGUUUUGAAGUUGUUUGUUUGGUUUUGGCCGUCCUGCGGCAACCGUCCUGCGGCAAAUGAAAUUCCUGGGCCGAGGAUCAUAUCUGAGCUGCAAUUUCCACCUACGCCACAGCUGCACAACAUAGGAGUCUUCCCCGCCAGGGAUCGAACCUGCAUCCCAGCACUCCCAAGAUGCUGCUGAUCCCCUUGUACCACAGCAGGAACUCUGAGGAGUGCUUUAAAAAAUUAAAAUAUAGGCCAAAAAACCUGACAUUCACAUUGUAAUUUUCUUCUUCUUUUUCUUUUCUGGCCACCCUGCAGCAUAGAGAAUUCCUGGGACAGGGAUCAGAUUCAAGCCAUAGUUGCAACCUAUGCCACAGCUGCAGCAACGCUGAAUCCUUAAACCACUCUGCCAGGCCAGGGAACCUAUGUCCCAGCGAUUCAGAGACACCACUGAUUUCGUUGCACCACAGAGGGAACUCCUCUCCUUGUAAUUUUAUUUUGCAUUUAUCUGAUUACUACUUUCCCGUGUUAAAGGGAUAAUUUCAAUAUAAAGCAGUAAAUGCAAAGGCAGCAAAGUGCUAUGUGAGCUCUCAGAGGGGAAGCCCCUUAUCAUUGAGGGUGGGGAGCUGGGCUGGGUUGGAAUUCAAAACUAUCAUCACUAAUUUUACUUAGAAGAGGCUGGGCCUCUUCU